rnacentral:rRNA from 1 species
CCUACGGCAGGCAGCAGUGGGGAAUAUUGCACAAUGGGGGAAACCCUGAUGCAGCGACGCCGCGUGAGUGAAGAAGUAUUUCGGUAUGUAAAGCUCUAUCAGCAGGGAAGAAGAGAGACGGUACCUGUCUAAGAAGCUCCGGCUAACUACGUGCCAGCAGCCGCGGUAAUACGUAGGGGGCAAGCGUUAUCCGGAUUUACUGGGUGUAAAGGGAGCGUAGACGGCUGUGCAAGUCUGAAGUGAAAGCCCAGGGCUCAACCCUGGGACUGCUUUGGAAACUGGGGAGCUAGAGUGCUGGAGAGGCGAUCGGAAUUCCGUGUGUAGCGGUGAAAUGCGUAGAUAUACGGAGGAACACCAGUGGCGAAGGCGGAUUGCUGGACAGUAACUGACGCUGAGGCGCGAAAGCGUGGGGAGCAAACAGGAUUAGAUACCCCAGUAGUC